UAAUAGCUUGCUCUUAUGAAGUUAGCGGCGGACGGGUGAGUAACACGUGGGUAACCUGCCCAUAAGACUGGGAUAACUCCGGGAAACCGGGGCUAAUACCGGAUAACAUUUUGAACCGCAUGGUUCGAAAUUGAAAGGCGGCUUCGGCUGUCACUUAUGGAUGGACCCGCGUCGCAUUAGCUAGUUGGUGAGGUAACGGCUCACCAAGGCAACGAUGCGUAGCCGACCUGAGAGGGUGAUCGGCCACACUGGGACUGAGACACGGCCCAGACUCCUACGGGAGGCAGCAGUAGGGAAUCUUCCGCAAUGGACGAAAGUCUGACGGAGCAACGCCGCGUGAGUGAUGAAGGCUUUCGGGUCGUAAAACUCUGUUGUUAGGGAAGAACAAGUGCUAGUUGAAUAAGCUGGCACCUUGACGGUACCUAACCAGAAAGCCACGGCUAACUACGUGCCAGCAGCCGCGGUAAUACGUAGGUGGCAAGCGUUAUCCGGAAUUAUUGGGCGUAAAGCGCGCGCACGUGGUUUCUUAAGUCUGAUGUGAAAGCCCACGGCUCAACCGUGGAGGGUCAUUGUAAACUGGGAGACUUGAGUGCAGAAGAG
rnacentral:rRNA from 1 species